rnacentral:rRNA from 1 species
GACGAACGCUGGCGGCGUGCUUAACACAUGCAAGUCGAACGAUGAACUUGGAGCUUGCUCUGGGGGAUUAGUGGCGAACGGGUGAGUAACACGUGAGUAACCUGCCCUGGACUCUGGGAUAACUUCGAGAAAUCGGAGCUAAUACCGGAUAGGACCUUGCACCGCAUGGUGUGGGGUGGAAAGUUUUUCGGUUUGGGAUGGACUCGCGGCCUAUCAGCUUGUUGGUGAGGUAAUGGCUCACCAAGGCGUAGACGGGUAGCCGGCCUGAGAGGGUGACCGGCCACACUGGGACUGAGACACGGGCCAGACUCCUACGGGAGGCAGCAGUGGGGAAUAUUGCACAAUGGGCGCAAGCCUGAUGCAGCAACGCCGCGUGCGGGAUGACGGCCUUCGGGUUGUAAACCGCUUUUAGUAAGGAAGAAGGGGCUUCGGCCUUGACGGUACUUGCAGAAAAAGGACCGGCUAACUACGUGCCAGCCGCCGCAGUAAUAC